rnacentral:rRNA from 1 species
UACGUAGGGGGCAAGCGUUGUCCGGAAUCAUUGGGCGUAAAGAGCGUGUAGGCGGCCCGGUAAGUCCGUUGUGAAAGUCGAGGGCUCAACCCUCGAAUGCCGGCGGAUACUGUCGGGCUAGAGUCCGGAAGAGGCGAGUGGAAUUCCUGGUGUAGCGGUGAAAUGCGCAGAUAUCAGGAGGAACACCAACGGCGAAGGCAGCUCGCUGGGACGGUACUGACGCUGAGACGCGAAAGCGUGGGGAGCAAACAGG